rnacentral:snRNA from 1 species
GGCUGUGAGGGUGAUCCGGCUUCGGCAUCUGCCUCCCCCUUGGUAGCCAGGGUUGAUCUAGCCUAUCCGGCUGAUGAGGCAGAUGUCCCGUCCUCCCUUACCGCUUCAUGUGCGCCCCUCCUGAAACUGCACGCUCAGCGGAAGAGGAAGACCUUUCCCGACACAGGAGGAACCUUCUUUAGUCCAGGGUAUACGAGUAGCGGCACUGCCCUGCUAGAACCUCCAAACAAGCUCUCAAAGUAAUGUGAGGAAAAGUGACAUGUUUUCACGAUUGGGUUAAAGUAUUUAAAAGGGAAGUGGUGCUGG